ACCCGCUGAACUUAAGCAUAUCAAUAAGCGGAGGAAAAGAAACCAACAGGGAUUGCCCUAGUAACGGCGAGUGAAGCGGCAAAAGCUCAAAUUUGAAAUCUGGCUUCGGCCCGAGUUGUAAUUUGUAGAGGAUGUUUCGGGCACCGCCCCGGCGUAAGUCCCUUGGAACAGGGCGACAUAGAGGGUGAGAAUCCCGUCUGGCGUCGUGGUAGGGCCCAUGUGAAACUCCUUCGACGAGUCGAGUUGUUUGGGAAUGCAGCUCAAAAUGGGUGGUAAAUUUCAUCUAAAGCUAAAUACUGGCCAGAGACCGAUAGCGCACAAGUAGAGUGAUCGAAAGAUGAAAAGCACUUUGAAAAGAGAGUUAAACAGUAUGUGAAAUUGUUGAAAGGGAAGCGCUUACAACCAGACUUGAGCCCGUCGGUUCCCCCUCGCUUCUGCGUGGGCUACUCCGGCGGGUCCAGGCCAACAUCGGUUCGGAUGGCUGGUCAAAGGCCCCGGGAAUGUACCUCACCUUCGGGUUAGGCUUAUAGCCCGGGGUGUCAUGCGGCCUACCUGGACCGAGGAACGCGCUUCGGCUCGGAUGUUGGCGUAAUGGUUGUCAGCGACCCGUCUUGAAACACGG
rnacentral:rRNA from 1 species